GGGAGCGUAGCUCAGAUGGUAGAGCGCUCGCUUAGCAGGUGAGAGGUGCGGGGAUCGAUACCUUACGCCUUCA